UACGUAGGGUGCGAGCGUUGUCCGGAUUUAUUGGGCGUAAAGAGCUCGUAGGCGGCCUGUUGCGUCCGCUGUGAAAGCCCGGGGCUUAACCCCGGGUCGCAGUGGAUACGGGCAGGCUAGAGGUAGGUAGGGGAGAAUGGAAUUCCCGGUGUAGCGGUGAAAUGCGCAGAUAUCGGGAGGAACACCGGUGGCGAAGGCGGUUCUCUGGGCCUGUACUGACGCUGAGGAGCGAAAGCGUGGGGGAGCGAACAGG
rnacentral:rRNA from 1 species